rnacentral:rRNA from 1 species
GAUGAACGCUAGCGAUAGGCCUUACACAUGCAAGUCGAGGGGCAGCACAUAAAUUGUAGCAAUACGAUUUUGGUGGCGACCGGCGCACGGGUGAGUAACGCGUAUGCAACCUACCUACUACUUUGGCAUAGCUCGUUGAAAGACGAAUUAAUACCUCAUAAAACAGGGGCUCCGCAUGGAGAUAUUUGUUAAAGAUUUAUCGGUAGUAGAUGGGCAUGCGUUCCAUUAGUUAGUUGGCGAGGUAACGGCUCACCAAGACAACGAUGGAUAGGGGAACUGAGAGGUUUAUCCCCCACACUGGAACUGAGACACGGUCCAGACUCCUACGGGAGGCAGCAGUGAGGAAUAUUGGUCAAUGGAGGCAACUCUGAACCAGCCAAGUCGCGUGAGGGAUGACGGCCCUACGGGUUGUAAACUUCUUUUUAAGGGAUAAAGUGAGCCACGUGUGGCUUUUUGCAUGUACCUUACGAAUAAGGAUCGGCUAACUCCGUGCCAGCAGCCGCGGUAAU